rnacentral:lncRNA from 1 species
AUGCCCGGGAGCAGCGAUCAGCAAUCAGAAGUGGCCCUUAGUUAUCACUUCAUGACACCCAGAGCUAAGAUGGAACGUCUGUGCCAGGACUUAAUGAUCACCUGUUUCUCAAGAAGACAGCUACAGCAGCUAGAAUGAGCCCUAUGAUUCAGUGAGUUUUGCCAAGAGAGAUGGGGAGUGUUUGCUGUACCUUACAGGUAGACAAGCUGAGGAUUAGCACCAAUUCACAGUGCUGGUAAGUGGCAGAGAUGCUUGUGCCAAACUUGCUGUACCCAGUGCUCCCCACCACAUUUCUGGGAAGUAGAGGCUUC